rnacentral:rRNA from 1 species
UACAGAGGGUGCAAGCGUUAAUCGGAAUUAUUGGGCGUAAAGCGCACGUAGGUGGAUAUUUAAGUCGGAUGUGAAAGCCCCGGGCUCAACCUGGGAAUCGCAUUCGAUACUGAAUGCCUAGAGUAUGGUAGAGGGAGGUAGAACUUCCGGUGUAGCGGUGAAAUGCGUAGAUAUCGGAAAGAAUACCAGUGGCGAAGGCGGCCUCCUGGACUAAUACUGACACUGAGGUGCGAAAGCGUGGGGAGCAAACAGG